rnacentral:rRNA from 1 species
GAUCAUGGCUCAGGACGAACGCUGGCGGCGCGCCUAACACAUGCAAGUCGAACGAGCGAGAGAGAGCUUGCUUUCUCGAGCGAGUGGCGAACGGGUGAGUAACGCGUGAGGAACCUGCCUCAAAGAGGGGGACAACAGUUGGAAACGACUGCUAAUACCGCAUAAGCCCACGACCCGGCAUCGGGUUGGAGGGAAAAGGAAGUAAUCCGCUUUGUAGAUGGCCUCGCGUCCGAUUAGCUAGUUGG